AGAGCCACAACUGACCUGCACCUGACAGUUCUUGGGGACCUGGAGACCGUUGACCAGGCUGAGGGCUGACACAGAGCACCUCGGAAGUGAGAAGGCAGGCUUCCCAGUACCAGAGAGGAAUGGACGUGGCGUGCAGAAGCGGGAGGGAAUAAAAGCCACCUGGGUAGGGAAGUCCUCUGACCAACAGCCCAUCCUUUUGCAGUGCCCUGUUCCAGGGUCAUGUGGCCACCGCUGCUGCUGCUGUUUCUGCUGCUUCCUGCUGCCCAUGGCGCCCCCCACCCGGCUGCGGACCUCCAGGAAAACUUUCCAAGCGUACUCGAAGAAAUCCAAACUGAAGGAGACAGAGGCAUGUGGAGAGAAGACAACCCGUUCGCUGGCUCCCGCUGUCCUCCUGGCUCAUGAGGUGGCUUCUAUGUGGUCCAGAAGCUGGGGGCGAGGACCUGUAGCCUCAUGAAGGCCUGCCAGGCACAGGAUCCGGAGCUCCACACUCCUCCCAAAAUCCCUGGUCUCCUCCGGGGGCCCUUCAGCUGCUGAAGGGGCUGGGGUGGACACCAUUAUCCUAGCAGGGGACAUAUGUGGAACUCACCAGACCCACCUGCAGCACCAUUUCAAAAUAAAAGUAAAAUUUCAAGCUUA